rnacentral:rRNA from 1 species
UACGAAGGGGGCUAGCGUUGCUCGGAAUUACUGGGCGUAAAGGGCGCGUAGGCGGACAGUUUAGUCGGGGGUGAAAGCCCGGGGCUCAACCUCGGAAUUGCCUUCGAUACUGGCUGUCUUGAGUACGGGAGAGGUGUGUGGAACUCCGAGUGUAGAGGUGAAAUUCGUAGAUAUUCGGAAGAACACCAGUGGCGAAGGCGACACACUGGCCCGUUACUGACGCUGAGGCGCGAAAGCGUGGGGAGCAAACAGG